AUCGUCCUGCGCGGAGUCGAUCGCACCCGAACCAACGGGUCAGGGAAUCCGGUUCGAAAUCCGGAGCUGACGCGCAGCGGUAGGGAUGCGCGAGACGACGCUUUGCCACUGGACAGCACGUCUGGGAAGGCCGUCGUCCCGACCGCAUCCGAGCCCGAAGACCUGUCGCCUCCGCCCGCACGGG
rnacentral:ncRNA from 2 species